rnacentral:rRNA from 1 species
UACGUAGGGUGCAAGCGUUGUCCGGAAUUAUUGGGCGUAAAGAGCUCGUAGGCGGUUUGUCGCGUCUGCUGUGAAAACUCGGGGCUUAACUCCGGGCCUGCAGUGGGUACGGGCAGACUAGAGUGCGGUAGGGGGAGACUGGAAUUCCUGGUGUAGCGGUGAAAUGCGCAGAUAUCAGGAGGAACACCGGUGGCGAAGGCGGGUCUCUGGGCCGAUAUUGACGCUGAGGAGCGAAAGCGUGGGGAGCAACAGG